GAUGAACGCUGGCGGCGUGCCUAAUACAUGCAAGUCGAGCGAACGGACGAGAAGCUUGCUUCUCUGAUGUUAGCGGCGGACGGGUGAGUAACACGUGGAUAACCUACCUAUAAGACUGGGAUAACUUCGGGAAACCGGAGCUAAUACCGGAUGAUAUUUUGAACCGCAUGGUUCAAAAGUGAAAGACGGUCUUGCUGUCACUUAUAGAUGGAUCCGCGCUGCAUUAGCUAGUUGGUAAGGUAACGGCUUACCAAGGCAACGAUGCAUAGCCGACCUGAGAGGGUGAUCGGCCACACUGGAACUGAGACACGGUCCGGACUCCUACGGGAGGCAGCAGUAGGGAAUCUUCCGCAAUGGGCGAAAGCCUGACGGAGCAACGCCGCGUGAGUGAUGAAGGUCUUCGGAUCGUAAAACUCUGUUAUUAGGGAAGAACAUAUGUGUAAGUAACUGUGCACAUCUUGACGGUACCUAAUCAGAAAGCCACGGCUAACUACGUGCCAGCAGCCGCGGUAAUACGUAGGUGGCAAGCGUUAUCCGGAAUUAUUGGGCGUAAAGCGCGCGUAGGCGGUUUUUUAGUCUGAUGUGAAAGCCCACGGCUCAACCGUGGAGGGUCAUUGGAAACUGGAAAACUUGAGUGCAGAAGAGGAAAGUGGAAUUCCAUGUGUAGCGGUGAAAUGCGCAGAGAUAUGGAGGAACACCAGUGGCGAAGGCGACUUUCUGGUCUGUAACUGACGCUGAUGUGCGAAAGCGUGGGGAUCAAACAGGAUUAGAUACCCUGGUAGUCCACGCCGUAAACGAUGAGUGCUAAGUGUUAGGGGGUUUCCGCCCCUUAGUGCUGCAGCUAACGCAUUAAGCACUCCGCCUGGGGAGUACGACCGCAAGGUUGAAACUCAAAGGAAUUGACGGGGACCCGCACAAGCGGUGGAGCAUGUGGUUUAAUUCGAAGCAACGCGAAGAACCUUACCAAAUCUUGACAUCCUUUGACAACUCUAGAGAUAGAGCCUUCCCCUUCGGGGGACAAAGUGACAGGUGGUGCAUGGUUGUCGUCAGCUCGUGUCGUGAGAUGUUGGGUUAAGUCCCGCAACGAGCGCAACCCUUAAGCUUAGUUGCCAUCAUUAAGUUGGGCACUCUAAGUUGACUGCCGGUGACAAACCGGAGGAAGGUGGGGAUGACGUCAAAUCAUCAUGCCCCUUAUGAUUUGGGCUACACACGUGCUACAAUGGACAAUACAAAGGGCAGCGAAACCGCGAGGUCAAGCAAAUCCCAUAAAGUUGUUCUCAGUUCGGAUUGUAGUCUGCAACUCGACUACAUGAAGCUGGAAUCGCUAGUAAUCGUAGAUCAGCAUGCUACGGUGAAUACGUUCCCGGGUCU
rnacentral:rRNA from 1 species